rnacentral:sRNA from 1 species
CUCUUCUUCUUCUUCUGCUACUUCUA